rnacentral:rRNA from 1 species
UACGUAGGGUGCAAGCGUUGUCCGGAAUUAUUGGGCGUAAAGAGCUCGUAGGCGGUCUGUCGCGUCUGCUGUGAAAACUCGGGGCUUAACCCCGGGCCUGCAGUGGGUACAGGCAGACUAGAGUGCGGUAGGGGAGACUGGAAUUCCUGGUGUAGCGGUGAAAUGCGCAGAUAUCAGGAGGAACACCGGUGGCGAAGGCGGGUCUCUGGGCCGUAACUGACGCUGAGGAGCGAAAGCAUGGGGGAGCGAACAGG